UAAUACUGGAUAGAUCAAAGAUACUGGAAUGUUCCUUGAUCCAAAGCUCCGGCGUCCAAGGAUGGAUCUGCGGCCUAUCAGGUAGUAGUGGGUGUAACGUACCUACUAGCCUACGACGGGUACGGGUUGUGAGAGCAAGAGCCCGGAGAUGGAUUCUGAGACAUGAAUCCAGGCCCUACGGGGCGCAGCAGGCGCGAAAUCUUUACAAUGCAGGAAACUGCGAUAAGGGGACCCCGAGUGCCAGCAUCUAAUGCUGGCUGUCCAGCUGUGUAAAUAGCAGUUGUUAGCAAGGGCCGGGCAAGACCGGUGCCAGCCGCCGCGGUAACACCGGCGGCCCGAGUGGUAACCGAUUUUAUUGGGUUUAAAGGGUCCGUAGCCGGCCUGUUAAGUCUCUUGGGAAAUCUGGCGGCUCAAUCGUCAGGCGUUC
rnacentral:rRNA from 1 species